rnacentral:rRNA from 1 species
CAGGUGGUGCAUGGUUGUCGUCAGCUCGUGUCGUGAGAUGUUGGGUUAAGUCCCGCAACGAGCGCAACCCUUAAGCUUAGUUGCCAUCAUUAAGUUGGGCACUCUAAGUUGACUGCCGGUGACAAACCGGAGGAAGGUGGGGAUGACGUCAAAUCAUCAUGCCCCUUAUGAUUUGGGCUACACACGUGCUACAAUGGACAAUACAAAGGGCAGCGAAACCGCGAGGUCAAGCAAAUCCCAUAAAGUUGUUCUCAGUUCGGAUUGUAGUCUGCAACUCGACUACAUGAAGCUGGAAUCGCUAGUAAUCGUAGAUCAGCAUGCUACGGUGAAUACGUUCCCGGGUCUUGUACACACCGCCCGUCACACCACGAGAGUUUGUAACACCCGAAGCCGGUGGAGUAACCUUUUAGGAGCUAGCCGUCGAAGGUGGGACAAAUGAUUGGGGUGAAGUCGUAACAAGGUAGCCGUAUCGGAAGGUGCGGCUGGAUCACCUCCUUU